UACGUAGGGCGCAAGCGUUGUCCGGAAUUAUUGGGCGUAAAGAGCUCGUAGGCGGCCUGUUACGUCUGCUGUGAAAUCCCGGGGCUUAACCCCGGGCGUGCAGUGGAUACGGGCAGGCUGGAGGCAGGCAGGGGAGAACGGAAUUCCCGGUGUAGCGGUGAAAUGCGCAGAUAUCGGGAGGAACACCGGUGGCGAAGGCAGCUCGCUGGGACGGUACUGACGCUGAGACGCGAAAGCGUGGGGAGCAAACAGG
rnacentral:rRNA from 1 species